rnacentral:sRNA from 1 species
AUGUUCAACCGAUUACGUCACAAUCAUUCAUCUUGGAACCGCCGGUUGUCUCGUCAUCUGAGAAUAUCACCAAAAACUCAUCGGAUUGUAUCGUGGAUUCAGAAGGAGGCAUAUAACCCCGAUUUAAUUAGGCCCAUAUCGUUUUCUAAAUUUAUCAAAAUCUUAAAAAUUCCGGGUAUCGCUUGGAAUGGAGAAAGUCCCAGAUCUUUUAGAGAGACACCCAGAAUUACUUCCCCCAACAAGGACUCCAGGGAUGGUCGUGUUCAGGCAUUCAGUGCCCAGAGAACAAGCGAUACACCCAGACCAACUGAGGAAUUACCCUCCGUAGAGUCUAUAAUGGAGCGCGUGUGCAGCCAGAUGUGCAAUGACCUAAGAAGGAGCGGUGUACUGAAAGAUGAGGUUGUAGACAUCGUGGCUGCACGCGUUUACAGCGAGCUCUCAAGCCGCUGUAUCCGAAGAAGCACCGAUCCAGAUGAAUCAGUUCCAGCUAGCAUAGCUAGUGGCAGAUCGUCUGUCAACAACGGAUCAAGAACUGGACAAAACAAACGCUGCAAAUCGUCUAAUGAUGACCGAUAUUCUGUCGUAUCUAGAGCAGCUCAAGGGCGAUCAGUCGUCAAAACAGCAAAUUCUCUCAAAACGAAGGAUGAAAAGAGCAGAAACUCAAGCAAGAGCAGUCAUGUGAGAAGUUCUCGUGCAGACAGCGCCCAAUCAGAGUUAGCGACCACAUCAAGAUCUUUAGUAUCAAGAAAUUUGACAAGAAGUAGAACACCAACACGUGGACAGCAUGGAACACCUGCUAACACUACCAGUUCUAGAGGAAGCGUUCUAGAAUUAAGCGUGGACCAAAAUUCUUACACUCCGUUGCCUUUUAUUAGACAGAUCUCGUCAUCCGGCAAACAAAGCAUACAAAGUACCCCAAGAUCUACUGAGGGCAGGAGUUCUGGAAAUGUCCAAGACCGUUCAAAAUCAAGUCAGUCUGGUUCAAAGCAGGAUAAUAAGACUGCACUGCUAAGUCCAUCUAAAAUCCCACGGAGAAUUGAAUCCUCCACAUUUCUUGGUAGAGAGUCGGAACCAAGCCGAAGCAGUGCAAGCCAUAUACUAGUACCAGUCAGAACCAGAACGCCACGUGACAAGGACGUUGCACAGAUCACCCGCAAUGAGGACAAAAUUGGACAAGCUUCCUCGCCCACCGUAUACAGUACAAAAAAUUCUCCAAACUCGCUUAAAGGCGCACAUUUUGGUGAUCAAGUAAACAGAUGCAAAUCAGUUGGCAAUGAAAUAAACCAAGAUGAGUGGGAAAUGUGCUACAGUUCACAAGUGUCGUCCACAAUGUUAGGUGUUGGUCUUAGUACUCCUUCUUCAAAUGAGGAUGAGAACAAUGAGAAGAGGAUUUUUGACACAAAGGACAGGGCACCCAAACUUGUUUCAAAAAUGCCAUGUUUAUCUCAAACUUCAAUGAAAGUCUCGUCCAGUCGAUCCAGCAAAAUACCAAUACGAUCAGUCACGCCGGAAGUCACAAAGCCUGCGAAUGCUAAAGCAAAGGAUAAUGCAAAGAAAAUGUCCAAGGAAAAAUAUGAAAAUCCCAACACUCGUGUCAAUGAAUGCGCAAAGAAUGUGUCUCGCAGAGAAAACAAGACACCAAGUGGAAUCUUUAAUAAAGUCAAAAACAAAGCGAGUGUCCCAAAAACAGGACACAAGACAGAGGAGAAUACUUUUAAGAAUGCUCUGGAAAGAAGAAAGGCUUAUGAGACAAAGCGCAAACUCCAACGGGAAGGAGGUCUCGCUGCCAAGACUGCAAAGAAAACUGAAACAGACUCCAAAAAACAGACCAACAACACUGGGGACAACGAUGAACCCAAAACUAAAGCAGGAAAAGGACCCAUUGUUAGCACCGAAGUCCCCAUCAUUGAGAAAAAACCUUGUCACAAUGAAGACAAUUUCACAUAUGAAGAUGACUUCGAACCGGUGGAGGAAGAAGAAAGAAACGUACAUCAUGAGUCGGCUGUUGAUACUGGGAUCGUUGACAGAGCUCUUGCUAAAUCUCCGGAGUCUCCAAUUCAGAUGGAGCCUGUAAACCACGAUAUCAAACAAGAAUCACCUGUUAGGUAUGGUCAUACCGAGGAAGACCCCGACAACACACCCCGCCUCAACUUCAUGACCGAUAAGGAGAUUCACGCCUGGCAAGUGGACAUAGUGCAUGGAAGAUUUGCAGCAGACAUUGGACGAGUUAAUCCCAGCAGCACGCGAUCAGAUGUGGAUUUUGGAUAUCUUGGUCACCCUAACUCCAAUGAUCUGGUUCAGAGUCAAUCAGGCUACCACCCCGGGUAUUGUCUCACACACAUGCACCCUAGCAUUGCACACGUCUAUGAUAACUUGGAUCAAAUUCCCGAAUACAAAAGAAUGAAAGAGAAAACUAGACGGAAGGCCGGAAAGAUGGUCUCUCAUGCCGAUGAAAACGAGCACGUUCGACGUAGGCCGUCCAACGCUAAAAAGAAAACCACUGUGGGUUACGUUCCCGGAUAUGGAGCUGUCCGUGUGAUGAAGGAAAACGUCGGACAAGCGUAUCCGGGAGGGAAAAAGCGUACCUCCAGCAAUACGUCAUUUCCUGUCAUCGACAAUCGGCCUAAACCUGGCCGGACACAGAGGCCAGUAGUGGGGUACGUCCCGGGGUACGGACCAGUUCGAGGACCACCCGUCCCACUUUUCCCGGAAGUGCCUUCAGAGAGAGUCGUGCUGCCUCCGUUAGAUUUUGGUCAGGCCUGUAGUUGUAAUGGUGACGUCAAGAGGAGCAAGAAAGGUCGUGACAAGAUCUGUUGGAGAAUCGUGCUCAAGCCAAGCCGUUCAAUACUUAUGUGGACGAGGAAGCGUCAAGAAGAUUCGAACGCCAGUAUGCUAGGCAUCGAUAAAGAAUGAAACGAGAUGCUUAAAAACUACCAAAAUGAGUUAAAAUGACUAAUUGUUAUCAUUUCACGUUUGCACGAAUAUAAACGCAAUCGUUCAAAGAAUUUCGUACAUGUUUUAUAAUUUUGAUAUUCAAUAUAGAAAAAAAACCUGGUAUGUUAUAGAACUGUUUUCAGGUUGUAAUACAUAAGCUGAUAUUUUGAUUUUAACGCGAGUCAAAAACUUUUUU